UACGUAGGGGGCAAGCGUUGUCCGGAUUUAUUGGGCGUAAAGAGCGUGUAGGCGGCCAGGUAGGUCGGUUGUGAAAACUGGAGGCUCAACCUCCAGACGUCGACCGAAACCAUCUGGCUAGAGUCCGGAAGAGGAGAAUGGAAUUCCUGGUGUAGCGGUGAAAUGCGCAGAUAUCAGGAAGAACACCGAUGGCGAAGGCAGUUCUCUGGGACGGUACUGACGCUGAGACGCGAAAGCGUGGGGAGCGAACAGG
rnacentral:rRNA from 1 species